UACGUAGGGUGCGAGCGUUAAUCGGAAUUACUGGGCGUAAAGCGUGCGCAGGCGGUUUUGUAAGACAGAGGUGAAAUCCCCGGGCUUAACCUGGGAACUGCCUUUGUGACUGCAAGGCUUGAGUGCGGCAGAGGGGGAUGGAAUUCCGCGUGUAGCAGUGAAAUGCGUAGAUAUCGAGAGGAACACCAGUGGCGAAGGCGAGUCCCUGGACAACUCCUGACACUGAGGCACGAAAGCUAGGGGAGCAAACAGG
rnacentral:rRNA from 1 species